rnacentral:rRNA from 1 species
UUGUAGUCAUAUGCUUGUCUCAAAGAUUAAGCCAUGCAUGUCUAAGUAUGAGCAACUUUGUACUGUGAAACUGCGAAUGGCUCAUUAAAUCAGUUAUAGUUUAUUUGAUGGUUUUUGCUACAUGGAUAACUGUGGUAAUUCUAGAGCUAAUACAUGCAUCCAAGCCCCGACUUCUGGAAGGGGUGUAUUUAUUAGAUAAAAAUCAACUUUGUUGGUGAAUCAUAAUAACUUCUCGGACCGCAUGGCCUCGUGCUGGCGGUGCUUCAUUCAAAUAUCUGCCCUAUCAACUGUCGAUGGUAGGAUAGAGGCCUACCAUGGUUGCAACGGGUAACGGGGAAUAAGGGUUCGAUUCCGGAGAGGGAGCCUGAGAAACGGCUACCACAUCUAAGGAAGGCAGCAGGCACGAAAAUUACCCAAUCCCAAUUCGGGGAGGUAGUGACAAGAAAUAACAAUACGGGGUCUUUAUAGGUCUCGCAAUUGGAAAGAGUACAAUUUAAAUCCUUUAACGAGUACC